AAGAUCCAAAUGCAGAACAUACUGAUUUCUUGGAUGAUACACAGCUUGCAAAGUCCUCAUCAUCCUAAGACUAUCACCUUUCGUCCCCGAGAUCAAAUAAGCUAACCUAGGAACCUCUGAAGAAGUCGAAUCCAACGUCGAAUUCAAAGACAUUCUCAAUUGUGAUUCUACAAAGUAAUCAUUUGUUUCUUCUGAGAGAUUAUCAAAAGGCAAUGGCUCUUCCACAUAAGAAGUCUCGAGUUGGACAUAAAGGACAGACAUCAAAAGAGUAACCGACAAAACCAAGCUUGCUAAAAAAGGGAACAUCCAUUUUCUAUCUCUGAAAAACCUAAACCCUGAAUGUGAACUAACAUGUCUCUUCAAUCUCGCUAAUGGGUCUCUGAUCCAAAUCAGCUUCCUAUACACUUUCUUCAUCCCCCCCAAAAAAAGAUCAAAACUUUCUCUUGAACACCUAACCAGCUAAUCAAAAUCUUAAUCUUUUGUACAAAUAAAGAUAAAUUACCAGAUAGAGAUUGUUGCUGCAGAGUUUUCAGAAUAGAGGCAACUAGAACAAAAAUGACAAAAACCCAAACCAAAAGCUAAUUAAUAGAAGAAGAAAGUUGAUAAGAACACCAACAACCA